ensembl:snoRNA small nucleolar RNA SNORA2/SNORA34 family
CUGGCACUGAAUCAAGGCUGGCAGCUUCCUGAUGCUGUUGGUUUCAAGCAGGAACCUAAAGAGAUGUCUUUCUAUGGUCUGUUGACCAUUUCAGAACUUGGGCAGUGAAAUGGUGAAUUCAUUAGAAUGAAAUAGCU